GACGAACGCUGGCGGCGUGCUUAACACAUGCAAGUCGAACGGUGAAGGGAUCAGCUUGCUGGUUCUGGAUGAGUGGCGAACGGGUGAGUAACACGUGAGUAACCUGCCCCCUUCUUCUGGAUAACCGCAUGAAAGUGUGGCUAAUACGGGAUAUUCUGGGUCUGUCGCAUGAUGGGUCUGGGAAAGAUAUUGUUUCGGUGGGGGAUGGGCUCGCGGCCUAUCAGCUUGUUGGUGGGGGGAUGGCCUACCAAGGCGGGGACGGGUAGCCGGCCUGAGAGGGGGGACGGUCACACGGGGACGGAGCCCCGGCCCAGACUCGUACGGGAGGCAGCAGUGGGGAAUAUUGCACAAUGGGCGCCAGCCUGAUGCAGCGCCGCCGCGUGAGGGAUGGCGGCCUUCGGGUUGUAAACCUCUUUCGCCAGUGAAGCAGGCCUGCUCCUUGUGGGUGGGUUGACGGUAGCUGGAUAAGAAGCGCCGGCUAACUACGUG
rnacentral:rRNA from 1 species